CAUCUCUUCCCCACGCCCACCUUAUCCAAUCAUCUCAGGAAAGGCAUGCCGCCGGCAGCGCUGGAACCGAUCUGGCGCGGUGGCUCCCGUUGACGCCGUGUGCCCCCGGAACCUCUCAUGCAUCCUCUCAGCCACACGGCCCACCAACACCAUGGCCCUCUCGUCACCAUCUCUUCCACCCCAUCCCCAUCUUCUCCAAUGCCGACCUCGGCAAGCAUGCCGGCGACGCAUCUCCUGCCCCCUUCUCUGCGCAUUAGUCCCAGCGCCCAACAUCUCCACACCCCCUCCUCCUCGCCAUCUCCUCCACCCCCUGUCCCGUCUCCUGCCGCUGACCGCCGCCGACUAUGUGUUGCUUCCUUGGCGGCAGCGUUUCCGCAUACUCCUCCUCCUCCUUCCCCACUGUCACUGAAGCGCCCCAUGUGGAGGUGCUAUGCUUGGCUAGGUCCUUCCCAAUCCUCAUCCCUCCCACCCGUGCCGCCUCCAAAAUUCAUUUUUUUUGUUACCCAGAGUUCAAUUCGUGCGUCCAGGUCGAACUCUCUAGAAGCCAGUCUUGCAGAGUUGCAGUCCAAUAUAAAUCAAAUGGGUAGGCAGAUGGGACUCAAGCUGCUUGCACUACACCUCAAGAGCCACACGCUCGUCACGCCAAUCUGGAGGUCAGAAGAUAGACGAGGCGAGAUCUUCAGAGCCAAUAUUGUUUUUCACAUAUGUUCUAAGCAAACAACUAAAAGAAGGGCAUACUAUGGUUGACAAAUGAUUCCAUGGCCUAUUUGUAGAUUCGUGGUGGUGUUGUAUGUACACAAAUUCAUGUUCCCUGUGCAUAUGUAGCAAAGUGUUCAGUCAAACACGUCUACUUCGUUCUUGUUUGUCCUGGAACCAUUUAUAAAUGUGUUCUCAAGCUAUAGUAUAUAUGUUUUUUCGAUAUAUUCAUUGCUGCCAUUUAUCUUCUCAUUUAAGUUUGGUGUGCCUAAUAUACUGGCACACAAUGAGCAAUGUUGAAUCCUUGGAAGAAAGGUAACAUAAUAUAUUAUUUUGUCUUCUACAGCUGUUCCAAGGAAAGGAGCAGUUCUAUUAACGAUGGAUAUGAUAAUAUGUAUUGGAAAAUGCUCGUCGUCCUGGUAAUUUCAGAGAUCUGGCAUCAGCACAAUCGUCUUAUCUUUCAAAUUUUGUAGUUAUCGGCUCCAACGCUCGCAUGUCUUGCAAUUGCGAAGCCAAUGUAAGGAGUCUGAUGCGCCCACUGGCGUGCAUUCCUUCAGUGCCUCUCCUCUGGCAUCAACCUGAAUGACCACGGCAAUCGUUGAAUGAUAGUUUAACUUGCGAGAAAAUACUAUUGCAUUUUCAAAAAACGAUUAUGCUUGAUCUUAUAAGCAAUAUUGCAUUUUAAAAAGUAUUUCUCACCAAGGAAGGUAAUUAUAAUAAGCAUAAGAAUCAGCAUGUGAUUGUUUUUAGGAUAACUGAAAUAUGCAAAAAAAAAUUGCCAAAAGAUCCUGAUCUUACUAAGCACAGAGUUCUUGGCUUAAGUACCAGGCAGUAGGUGACUGGUUUUCAUGGCGUUACAGCCAAAUCUUGCUUUAUGUAAUGUAAGAAGAGGCUGAAAGUUUGUUCUAUUAAACAGCAAUCUAAUGAUAUAUUAUAUGCAGCAAAGGUUGCCUGCAAGAAGCAUUGCCUUCUGUACGUUGAGCAUUUGUUUGUAUAUCUAAGCUCAAUAAAUUGCGUUUCACAAUGACAAUUCUGAUAUGUUGUUAGUCGUUCAGCUUAGCAAUUCCACAAGUUGUAGUUCCAGCCAAACAUCUAAAUACUGAGCUCAAAUUGCAGAAAAUACUGGGUGUUCAGUACUCGAUUUUGGACUAUAUGUUCACCUAUCUCUAGGGUUCCAUGAUCUCAUCUAAAGGAUCUUUUUUGCUAACACAUACCUUGAUGUUGACAUCGACAGCAGCAGAGAUAAUAUACGCCAUAUAAUCUUGUAAACAUAUGUGUAGAUCAGUACAAGUACUUUCAGUCUUCCUCCUUGUGAAUUAGUCUUUCAAGCUGUGGAUGGUCAGGAGUCGCUUGAGCCCUGCAAAGAUAAUGUUCAAGCUACAGCUUGAGUCAGAAUUUGUACGGAUACAUGAAAAUGUGAUGUAUGCCGAGAAAAGGUCUGUUUGCUAUGCAAUUCAAUUUUUAGCUUGCAAUUGCAGUUAGAAGUUCAAACCGCAACUCAAGUAUGUUGUUAAUUUACAGUGAGCAUCCACUUGCAGAAGAUUUGUGCCUGGAUGUGCUAAUUGACAGUGAAAUGUAGAAAUAAGUUGCAACUUUGUAAUAUCCAUCUGAUAUGUGAAACAAGAAUUGUUACUAAUUCACAACAUGUAUCUACGAUUGUGAGAUGGGACACCAUGUGCACAGGGGAGGCAACACAAGGUCGAGAGAAAAGCCCGUGUAGAAAGAGAUGCAACAUAUGGCCAUCAUUACAACUGUUAUAUUUUUGUAUAUGUUGUAAUUAUUCAUGCAAAGGUUACAGGCUUGAUGCACAAUUAUAAGUAUCUGGAGGAGUUGACGAAGCGUGGAGUUUUUUCUUGACAAUACAAAGAGUAUGAGUUAGGAGACGUUGAAGUGCAACUACAGAGCAAGCAUGACAGAGGUGAAGCUUUUACUGGAGAAAGUUGCGUAAAGUCUUUUUUAAGGAAAAGUUGUGUUUUCUUACAGCCGUGGAGUAGGAUCCAGAUAGGGAAGGGAAGGGGCUAGAGCAACAAUAGUGUCCUUACCCAUUAGACUUUAAUCUAUGUACCUUCUAAUCAUUUACCCGAUUACUGCGGAAAUAGAAGAUGAAAGAUGAGAUAUGAA